AGAAGGAAGAAGGAGCUCCUUUUGAUCCAAUGUGAAGGGCUUAGAAGAUGCAAGAGCUGUCAUCUCAUGCAUUAGGCUACCCUUAAUGUUUUGUAAUUUCAGUAUCUUCCAUUGUUUGAAAUGUUAAGUUUGGCCAAGUGCAUGAUGUGAGAGCAACUCAAUCCUUCUUCUUAGCCCACCCAUUGGAUUGAAGGGAGCUCUUACUUUCACCUUU